rnacentral:tRNA from 1 species
GAGGGUAUAGCUCAGUGGUAGAGCGCGUGCUUGGCAUGCCCGAGGUCCUAGGUUCAAUCCCCAGUACUGCCA